rnacentral:rRNA from 1 species
GGUCAGGCGGGACUACCCGCUGAAUU